CAAGAGCAGCUAGUACCCCGGUGGUAGAAUCAUCAUGAUUUCUCAUUCUGUCUAAUUGACAAUUGUUACCAACAGAACGUAAAAGCGUGAUGAUUUUGCCGCCAGGGUAGUAACGGAUCGAAUUUAAAUCACCUUUUUGUUUGAGUUACAAUGAAUUAAAUAAGUGACCAAUUAUCUUAAUUAUGAAUCCUGAUAUUUGUUAAGUUUAAGAUUUUGUCGCGGAAUGUGCAGCUAUAGUGUAACGCAAAUAUGACCGUACAAUUUAGGGAUAUGAAGUAAGUGUUACAGCGUGUAUUACAUAGGGUUUUCCCGAAAGAAAUUGUCCGUUCGUAUUCAAACGAUAGAGAUCUUUAAUACUGAUCAGAACGGAUGUCUUCGAGUGCUGCGCGGUAAGCUAAUAUUUUACAUUAAUCAUCUAUCGUGAUAGUAAUGCAUUAUUUUCAAACGGGCAAUGCUGUUUGGUUUUACUUCGAUGAAAUUUGUUACAUUCGAUGUUCGAUCAAAUUCGAUGUAAACUUUGUUGAAGAUUAACUUAGUUACAAUUUGCGUUUUGACUUCUAAUCUAUUAUUUCACUCUCCGAGUACAACGACUUUCCUGUUACGGGUUUUCACCGUAUGCGCUUGUGUGGAAUAUUACAUUCAACUUUUCUGUUACUCUGCUCUGUUACUUUUAGUUCAGUGUCCGCUCCCAUCAGUC